AUGCCUGGGGAAUUACUGUAAAGAACAUGAACAGCAGGAGUUCAUUAGAGCUCUGGCAGCCAUUCUCAAAAAGUCCAGGAAGCUGAAAGUCCCUGGAUGGGUGGACACCGUCAAGCUGGCCAAGCACAAAGAGCUUCCUCCCUGUGAUGAAAACUGGUUCUACACAUGAGCUGCUUCCACAGCACAGCACCCGUACCUACAGGUGAUGCUGGGGUUGACUCCAUGACCAAGAUCUAUGCGGGACAUCAGAGUAAAAGCGUCAUGCCCAGCCACUUCAGCCGAGGCUCCAAGAGAAUGGCCCGCUGGGUCCUCCAAGCCCAGGAGGGGCUGAAAAUGGUGGAAAAGGACCAAGAUGGGGGCUGCAAAGUGACACCUCAGGGACGAGAGAUCUGGACAGAAUCACCAGACAGGUGGCAGCUGCCAACAAGAAGCAUUAG
rnacentral:lncRNA from 10 species